AUUGAACGCUGGCGGCAGGCCUAACACAUGCAAGUCGAACGGUAACAGGAAGAAGCUUGCUUCUUUGCUGACGAGUGGCGGACGGGUGAGUAAUGUCUGGGAAACUGCCUGAUGGAGGGGGAUAACUACUGGAAACGGUAGCUAAUACCGCAUAACGUCGCAAGACCAAAGAGGGGGACCUUCGGGCCUCUUGCCAUCGGAUGUGCCCAGAUGGGAUUAGCUAGUAGGUGGGGUAACGGCUCACCUAGGCGACGACCCCUAGCUGGUCUGAGAGGAUGACCAGCCACACUGGAACUGAGACACGGUCCAGACUCCUACGGGAGGCAGCAGUGGGGAAUAUUGCACAAUGGGCGCAAGCCUGAUGCAGCCAUGCCGCGUGUAUGAAGAAGGCCUUCGGGUUGUAAAGUACUUUCAGCGGGGAGGAAGGGAGUAAAGUUAAUACCUUUACUCAUUGACGUUACCCGCAGAAGAAGCACCGGCUAACUCCGUG
rnacentral:rRNA from 1 species